UACGGGGGGGGUAAGCGUUGUUCGGAAUUACUGGGCGUAAAGGGCUCGUAGGCGGCCAACUAAGUCGGACGUGAAAUCCCUCAGCUUAACUGGGGAACUGCGUCCGAUACUGGAUGUCUUGGAUUUGGGAGAGGGAUGCGGAAUUCCAGGUGUGGCGGUGAAAUGCGUAGAUAUCUGGAGGAACACCGGUGGCGAAGGCGGCAUCCUGGACCAAUAUUGACGCUGAGGAGCGAAAGCCAGGGGAGCAAACGGG
rnacentral:rRNA from 1 species